UUUUUUCGUGGGUAAAUCAAACGCACAUCCAUAAUACACGAUAACUCCAUUACGAUCUAGUAGCCUUAGCAUAACGUCUUCAAAUCUACCACCUAAGCAAUUUAGAGCUAGCGCGGGUCUGGCCAAAGAUGUGUCGAAACUGAUUGACCGCAUGCACUGUUGGCAGCAUUUUGUAUGACUGUUUCUCCAGGACUCAUUUUUCUGAAGUCAGUGAGCAAUCUGGUUGCUGUACAUGGAGCUAUUGUAAGCAUGGCAGCUUCAGCUAGUGGAAGAUUUUUUGAAACAAGGUACAGUCGGCAAAUGAGGCAGGCUUGGAUUCUUUCCUGGAAUUAAAUACAUUUUGUUAAUAAUUCAGAAUAAAAAAACAACCAACAGUAAAUAUUAAACACAGUAGCAAUUGUUUUGUUGCACAUUAAUAUAUAACAUAAUA